rnacentral:lncRNA from 1 species
AGGCUUUCAAGUGGUUUCAAGCUUUAAAAUAGGGAAAAAUUCACAAUUGCAUAUGAAAAAAUAUCAAUUAUUUAAAAUACUGUCAUGCAUAUUAUUAUACAUUUUUUUUUUACUUAAAUUGGGGCAUAUUAUGAUUAAAAAUACUCACAUGUAGACCUUCUGUGUUUAGGACUGUAACUGAAAUUUCUCUCACCAUUAUUAAUGGAAUGUAGCUGAUUACUUGGAAAUUCAUAUUCAAAUUGAUGUACACUGUGAAGAAUGAAUUUAAUUAGGAUUCACCGUUACCGUUCUGCAUCAUCCGAAACAUGCCUUGACGCAACGGAAAGUCUCUGCAGAAUUUGCUUUCCUAAAAAUGAAAUCCUCCCAAUAGGUUUUGACGUUCAAAGGUUUUGGGAUGUAGAACUGUUAUCUGUUUUUUGUUAUUGUCCAUGGACAUGGAAAGCUUAACUCGCCUUUUACCUCAAGCUGUGCUAUCUACCGUAUCUGCCAUUUGCACUAUUUCACAUCCUGGCUUGUAGUCAUUGGUGGUAUAACCCUUGAUUGAGGUUGUAGCAUAUUCUGAACUAACAUCAGGUUGAUAAAAAUGAUGACGAACCAAAGCAAAUAGAACAGAGUCUCGAUUGAAGAAAGAAUACCAUGAGAACAAAGAGCCAAUUCACGCUGCAAAGCAGAGAACAAAAAUUGAAAAUGAUCACUUAGGUGACAUUGACACCACCAAAAAGGCCAAAACAGGCACAUCUUAUACAGAAAAACAUAGCAGCAACAGGGAUAUACUUCUGUUUGAAAGAAAACUAGAAAGAGAAAAGACAAAAAAUCAGUAUGGGAGAGGCCGAUGAAGGUGGAGGCUCACUUUCAAUUUCUCUCGUUUUGACAAUUCUUUCACAAGGAAGAUGCAAUCUUUCCAAUUCAGCCAGCAUAAAAUAAUCCAUAGUAUAAAGAUAACAAAUCCAUCAAAACGAAGAGUUCAUAGUAGCCACAAAAAGAUAACAAGCAAUGCAAUAACAUAAACCAACAUACACAAAGCCGAUUUUUGGUCCUUUUUCCCCAAGGGUCAAUUGAAGGUAGACAAACUAAGGUUCUGAAAAAUAACAUUGUCCUCCCCAGUGUUGAGAUGGAUUUUGAAAAAAAUAAAAUAAAAUAAAAUUUCCAAAACGAUUCAUUCACCCUCUACCCUUCACAUAAAAAGACCAACAAAAAGAAAAAUAAAAUAACCACCGAUUUUUAUCUCCAAAGAUGAAAAAUUCAUACCCCCACCAAACUAACUGCAACUACUAUUGUCAUUUUUUACCAAGUACAUAAUCUUCAUGAUAAAUAUUGACAUUGUAAAGACAUAACCCAAUUGCAAAAAAGAAACCAUAUCUCCUUCCUCUCAAUCUCUAUAAUUUCAAAAUUUCAAUCCAUGAUUUUCAUCAUCACAGUUGUGUGCCGCCGCCACCAUUACAUAUUAAACCGAAGAGCUCACUUCAAUGCCAGAAAUAUGCCUAUUGUAAGCAACAGUAAUAAUUCAAGCCAUAUUCUAAUUGAUUCCAAGAUUAUUUGGCCGUGAUAUCGGAAAGUCGAUAAAUUUUAUGUCUCAAAAUUGAAACAUAGAACAAAUGCUCAACUCUGAAAAUGAAAAGAUGUGGGGUAGAAGAAAAGAGAGAGAUCUUAAUGUACUGCAAAACCUGUAGCCUAUCUCAGUCUUCCAACUGGACAUUGAAGACCAUGAUUUCUUGCAUUUGUUUGAGAAAGAGGAGCUAGGUUUUGACUUUUGAGGCAUCAAUUGGG